CCUAUGGGUGGCAGCAGUAGGGAAUCUUCCACAAUGGGCGAAAGCCUGAUGGAGCAACGCCGCGUGGGUGAAGAAGGUCUUCGGAUCGUAAAACCCUGUUGUUAGAGAAAAAAGUGCUUGAGAGUAACUGUUCACGUUUCGACGGUAUCUAACCAGAAAGCCACGGCUAACUACGUGCCCGCCGCCGCGGUAAUACGUAGGUGGCGAGCGUUAUCCGGAUUUGUUGGGCGUAAAGGGAACGCAGGUGGUCUGUUAAGUCGGAUGUGAAAGCCUUCGGCUUAACCGGAGUAGUGCAUUGGAAACUGGGAGACUUGAGUGCAGAAGAGGAGAGUGGAACUCCAGGGGUAGCGGUGAAAUGCGUAGAUAUAUGGAAGAACACCAGUGGCGAAAGCGGCUCUCUGGUCUGUAACUGACGCUGAGGUUCGAAAGCGUGGGUAGCAAACAGGAUUAGAUACCCUGGUAGUC
rnacentral:rRNA from 1 species